UACGUAGGGGGCAAGCGUUGUCCGGAUUUAUUGGGCGUAAAGAGCGUGUAGGCGGCUAUACAGGUCCGUUGUGAAAACUCGAGGCUCAACCUCGAGACGCCGAUGGAAACCGUAUGGCUAGAGUCCGGAAGAGGAGAGCGGAAUUCCUGGUGUAGCGGUGAAAUGCAUUGAGAUCGGAAAGAACACCAACGGCGAAAGCACUCUGCUGGGCCGACACUGACACUGAGAGACGAAAGCUAGGGGAGCAAAUGGG
rnacentral:rRNA from 1 species